rnacentral:misc_RNA from 1 species
CGGAUGAUAUAGAUGUCGGUCGGUCCAACCUGUUGGGACUUUUUCUCGUCGGCCAGCGUAUCAGCGGAGAGAUAGAUGACCUCUCCCGACACCAUCGGCGUAAUGCGCUGAUUGAGUGCGGUGAGCCGAACCGUUGCAUGCUGCCCAUGCUUGACGCUGUCGAUGUCCUGCGGGCGUACACGGGCUUCGAUGAUAAGCUCAUCCUUGAGCGGCAAUAUUUCCAUGAUGUUCUUGCCGGCUUCGAUCACGCCGCCAUGCGUAUGAUACCGCAGCUUGACGACGACGCCCCUGACGGGUGCUGUAAUGCGAAUGCGGUCGAGCACACCCUUCGAACUGA